rnacentral:rRNA from 1 species
AUGUACUCGAUGCCGAACGAAGAGCAGUACCAGGAAGGAGUUGAGAGUGAUGGUGAGAGCGAUGAUUAUCAGUUUGCGGACGACAGCGAGGAGAACAGCAAGGACUCUGGUAGCAGUGAAGAAGUCGACUCAUCGCCCCGCUCUGAGCUGCGCUCCAAGCAGUCGCAGGAUCCCGCGGGAGGACGCGGCAAAGUGGUCUCACUGAGUGCGAAAAUACCAAAGCGCACUCGGACCUUGACUGCAGAGCCAUCGGAAAAGGCUGCGAAACAGCCCAGAGUCGUUCCACCGAAGCCCCGGAAGGCUCUGCCCAGGAUCAAGGUGGCCGUGCCUGUUGCUUCGGCUUCUGCCACUUCUGCAACAUCCAUGGAAGCCGACGAGGAGCGAGGUGACGCGGAAACCUCAGACGCGGCCACUUCUCGGGCGGGAGGACCAAGUGGGAGCUGCCAAAGAAGUUAUGAUCCAGACGGGUGUGAUGAUGGACCGACUGAAGGUGGUGUAUGA